rnacentral:rRNA from 1 species
UACGAAGGGGGCUAGCGUUGUUCGGAAUUACUGGGCGUAAAGCGCGCGCAGGCGGUUUUUCAAGUCAGUGGUGAAAGCCCGGAGCUCAACUCCAGAACUGCCUUUGAUACUGGCGACCUUGAGUCCGGGAGAGGUGAGUGGAACUGCGAGUGUAGAGGUGAAAUUCGUAGAUAUUCGCAAGAACACCAGUGGCGAAGGCGGCUCACUGGCCCGGUACUGACGCUGAGGAGCGAAAGCGUGGGGAGCAAACAGG